rnacentral:snRNA from 1 species
AGUCUCACUUCAGCAGCCUAUAUAAUAAAAUUGGAAUGAUGCAGAGAUUAGCAUGGCCCCUGGGUAAGAAUUUACAUGAGGGCCACAGAAGGCUCAGCUGGUAAA